rnacentral:rRNA from 1 species
AUGUCGGACUCGGCGUCGAUGGCGGCCGCCACAGAGGCGCGUUUCAGCAACCGCGACCUCAUCGGCCGUGGCUCCUUCGGCGACGUCUACAGAGGGUUUGACAAGGAACUCAGCAAGGAGGUUGCAAUAAAAGUUAUUGAUCUGGAAGAAGCCGAGGAUGAUAUCGAAGAUAUCCAAAAGGAGAUAUCUGUUUUAUCACAAUGCCGGUGUCCAUAUAUAACUGACUAUUAUGGCUCUUAUCUUCAUCAAACCAAACUGUGGAUAGUAAUGGAGUACAUGGCUGGUGGUUCUGUUGCUGACCUACUUCAAGCUGGCCCUCCUCUGGAUGAAAUAUCUAUUGCAUGCAUUCUAAGGGACUUGUUACAUGCAGUUGAAUAUCUGCAUUCUGAAGGAAAGAUCCACCGUGACAUUAAAGCGGCAAAUAUCCUCCUGACUGAAAGCGGAGAUGUGAAGGUUGCAGACUUCGGCGUCUCUGCACAGCUGACUAAAACAAUGUCUAGGAGGAAGACAUUCGUCGGAACUCCCUUUUGGAUGGCACCUGAGGUUAUUCAAAAUUCUGAUGGGUACAAUGAAAAGGCGGAUAUCUGGUCUUUAGGUAUAACUGCUAUAGAAAUGGCAAAAGGUGAACCCCCCUUGGCAGAUAUUCACCCCAUGAGAGUUCUUUUCAUGAUACCUCGUGAAAAUCCUCCUCAGCUUGAUGAGCAUUUCUCUAAACCAAUGAAAGAGUUUGUGUCACUAUGUUUAAGGAAGAAUCCAGCAGAGAGGCCUAGUGCUAAGGAACUUCUUAAGCACCGUUUCAUAAAAAAUGCCAGAAAAACUCCAAAGCUUCUGGAGAGAAUAAGAGAGAGGCCAAAAUUUACAGUAAAAGGUAGCAUUGAUGCCACGCAAAAUGGUCAAACACAUAUCGAAGAAGAUGAUUAUGGAGGUACUAUUAAGGUUGAUAGAAAUACAAGACAUGCAGCCUCUCCUUCCAGUCAAGGAACAGUUAGGAAAGCUGCUGGCUGGGAUUUUCCUGAUAGAUCAGAGGGCACGGGAACUGUUCGAGGUGGUUUGAGGCCACCACAAAUAACCUCCACCAAGGAUGGUAGAUUUGAUAUGCCUCAGAAUCCAAGUACACUAAAACGUACAGCUGAUCGAGAAAACCAAUGGAGAACAUCUGGGACUGGAUCUGAAGAAUCAUCCUCAACAAACAUGUCUAAGAAAGAAGCUCAAACUGAUCAUGGGAGGCUAGAAAGUUCUACAGAAUACAAUGACCAAUCUGUAAGUGGGUCUGGAACUGUGGUGUUACGCUCUCCAAGAGCGUCUCAGGUCUACCCAGCAGGUCCUAAUCACAGUUCUAAGCCUCCCAGCAGAUUCUCCUCAUACGAAGAUAUGUCUAUCAGUGGGACAGUUGUUAGGAAUCAAACUGAAGAAGCAGAAAUGCCACGAUCUUCAAGGUCAAGGCUGGGGACUCUAGAAAAAACAUCAAAUGCUUCACUUGAGGAUAGUGCUACUAACCUUGCGGAGGCAAAGGCUGCUCUACAAGCUGGGUUCAGAAAGGGAAAUGCUCGAGAAAGACCAGCCACCAACAAACAUGAAAAGGAAUCACACGAACCUAGAUUUUCUGGGGUAAACAGUCAUGAGGUUCGAAGUGAGAAUAUUGACUCGCAAAAAGGUCGCAAAUCACGGCAGCCAUCCGAUGGGCAAUCAGCUCCCCGAGCUUCUGCAGCUUCACCUGCACUAUCAUCCUUGAUAAUUCCUUCUCUGAAAGAGGCUUCUGGUGACAAGUAUGAAGGACCUGUUGUUCAUGCAGUCCUCAGUUCUUUGAUGGAUCUAGAGCAAGAAAUACCUGGAUCCUGUGAGGUAUUGGUUGGCAGAAUUCUACAUCGGCUAGGGAGCUCGAAGGAUUUGUCGUUGCAAAGUCUAAAUGAGACGGCAAUAUCGAUUUUUACAAAGAAACCUGAGCCCCCCUCGGAAGCUGCAAGCAACAAGAAACAAGCUAGUACGCCACCAUUGGCUGCUCCUACCGUAAGCCCUCUGGCGAGGUUCCUUCUUACCAGGUGGCAAAACCAAGUUUCCCAAGACCUUAACUCCGUUUGA